GACAGAGGGGGCAAGCGUUGCUCGGAAUCACUGGGCGUAAAGCGCACGUAGGCGGCUUGUUAAGUCAGGGGUGAAAUCCUGGAGCUCAACUCCAGAACUGCCUUUGAUACUGGCGAGCUUGAGUUCGGGAGAGGUGAGUGGAACUGCGAGUGUAGAGGUGAAAUUCGUAGAUAUUCGCAAGAACACCAGUGGCGAAGGCGGCUCACUGGCCCGAUACUGACGCUGAGGUGCGAAAGCGUGGGGAGCAAACAGG
rnacentral:rRNA from 1 species